rnacentral:lncRNA from 1 species
UCCCUUGGCCUGAAGCUAUCAGAAAAUAGAAGCAGGAGAGUGAACCUGUGCUCCUGAGUGCAAGCAAGGCAUUCCUCCAAGACACUGCGGGUCAGAGCAGGGACUGUUCACGCUGGUGCCCUGUGAACUCUGGUGGAGGUCAGCCAACAGCUGCUGUGUCUGAGUUGCUGAGAGGAGAGAGAAUGGCUUGCACUGAGUUUUCUUUCCACGUGCCAAGUCUGGAGGAGCUCGCAGAAGCCCUGGCUGCCUGUCUUGUUCAAACAAGAAUAUAAGGAAGGUCCCCUGGCAUAAACUAGAGAAGAAAAAAGAUGGACGAAUGCACCAAAUGAAGCCCAGCAGUUUUGCAGAAGGGGCUAAAGGACAACUUUGCUCAUGUCCAGGUCUCUGUGGUCGACUGCCCAGAUUUAACAAAGGAGCCAUUUACCUUUCCCGUAAAA